CAGCAAGGCAGAGGGUUUUCCGGCAGCUGUGAGUCUGGUAUCCAAAUAUCUCCUGGGGCAGAACCAAAAUGACUCCAAUUAUUGGAAGUUCAAGAGUUGCUCAAGACUGAGUUUCACAACCUUACCUUCAAAGGAGACAAACCAAGUCCGGGCUGGAAGGGACAAACUAAUCAGGACAUCUGCUGCCCCAGCUCCUGCUCUGGACCAAAAGGUGUUUUCACAAUUGUCUCAGGUUCCCACAAGCUUCAAGUUACAGAGUAAGAGGAUCUGGGCAAGAGGGACUCCACCCAGCAACCGGAUGGUGGUUUCUACAGGCAACAUUUUCAUCUUCUGAGCUGGCAAUCUGAGACAUGUGAGGCAGUCAGAGCACAGACAGGUCAGUAUCUGAGACUACCAUCCUACCUGGGGGCUAACUCACUGCACUGACUUACUCUCAGAAUACAGGCCUGAGACAGAGCAGAGCAAGAGAAAAGGCCACAUUCAAAGAUGAAACACGGAUUCAAGACCUGAUUCUGCCACUUAAUCAUUUUAUCAGUAGAUGAGUGGAUAAAAGAGCUAUGAUACAUUUACACAAUGGAAUACCACUU